rnacentral:rRNA from 1 species
AUUGAACGCUGGCGGCAGGCCUAACACAUGCAAGUCGAGCGAGCGGCGGACGGGUGAGUAAUGUAUGGGAAACUGCCUGCUGGAGGGGGAUAACUACUGGAAACGGUAGCUAAUACCGCAUACCAUCAGAUGUGCCCAGAUGGGAUUUGCUAGUGGGUGGGGUAAUGGCUCACCUAGGCGACGAUCCCUAGCUGGUCUGAGAGGAUGACCAGCCACAGUGGAACUGAGACACGGCCCAGACUCCUACGGGAGGCAGCAGUGGGGAAUUUUUGAAAAGGGGCGAAAACCUGAUGGAGCCAUGCCGCGUGUGUGAAGAAGGCCUUCGGGUUGUAAAGCACUUUCAGCGGGGAGGCGUUACCUGCAGAAGAAGCACCGGCUAACUCCGUGCCAGCAGCCGCGGUAAUUC